rnacentral:lncRNA from 1 species
AUGACUCUCCCGUUCGUCUCACCUGGCCGGCCUGUUCCGCCGACCCCCCCCCCCCGCACUUGUUUCCUCCCUUUAUCCGCCUUCCCUCCGCCCUCCUCCCCCCUCCUCCUCCUCCCGCUGCCGGCCCCGCCGCCUGCAGGGAUCCCCCGCUCCGCCCGGCCGCGCCGCGCCGCUCCCUCCGCCCCCCCCCCUCCAACACCGAUCGUCGCCCCCAUCGGACAUCGAUCCCCUUUGUUCAAUUCAUCGAUCGGCCCAAGAUGGCGCCGGAGCCGGCUCUGCUUUACCGGGGCCGUCGCCGUUUCGCCCCGCUCCGUCCCGGGGCUGCGCUCCGUCGUUCCCCGCGGUCGAACCGCGCCGGGCCGAGCGCUGCCACCGCUCCGAGCGCUCUCCUUCCCACCCCCCCCAUCCUCCCGUCCUCCUCCUCCUCGUCUCCCUCCGUCCCUCCUGCGGCGGCCGGGGAAAGUUUCCCGAGUGCCGGGACUUCGUGUGCGAGGGGGCGCGGGGCGGCGGGGGCCGGGGGGGCGCUGUAACGCCAGACCCCGGGGUAUCGGCACCGGGCAGCGGGGGAACGGCCGGGAGGGGACGGCGGCAAUGGGGGGAGAAGGGGGGCGAGAUCAGGGGGAAGCCCCGCGGGAGACGGGGGACGGCGGCGGGGCCCUCAGGUGCGGCGUCCCCUAUCGCCGCCGUAUUGUUUGUGCGGAGGCUGCGCGGGUGAGGCGGACUUGGCCGAACUUUGGGAGCUCGGAAGGGAGAACGACAGGGAGAGACAGGGAGAGACAGGGAGAGACAGGGAGAUGCGGAGCGGGAUGUUCCGGCGGAGUUGGAACCGCUUUGCCGGGCGGUACCGGCGUGUCAGCAAAAGGCUGCGGCUCAUCGCGGUGCCGGCCGGAGCGUUGUGAUCCGUUCGGAGUAAAGGAAGGGAAAAAAAACCACCGACCGAGUGGCGUUUGUCGGGGUUUAAUUUCUGUGUGCGCUGUAAAACCUGUUGUGGAGCGUCGCGCUGUGACGCCGGGUGACGCCAGCGUUGGGCUCUUGGCUGCCCGCGUUGCGGCCCUGCACGGAGCAGAGCACGGAGCAGAGCACGGAGCAGAGCACGGAGCGCCUCAUCCACACACAGAGCGGUUCAUUUGUCUGAAAUUAGCCUUUUUUUGCCCUUUAAUUACCCGCCCGGCCGCACACAGAGGCAGCGCGGUGUUAGCACGGUGUUUCCCCCCACUCGCAGGUGACUGUGCUGUGCUAUGA